AGUUUGAUCCUGGCUCAGGAUGAACGCUGGCGGCGUGCCUAAUACAUGCAAGUCGAACGAGGAGCCCACGUCUUGUACGAGGGAUUUCCUAGUGGCGAACGGGUGAGUAACACGUUGGUGACCUGCCCCGAAGAGCGGGACAACAGUUCGAAAGAGCUGCUAAUACCGCAUGUGCUCAAGAGGGUUAGAGACUUCUUGAGUAAAGGGAGCAAUCCGCUUUGGGAGGGGCCUGCGGCCCAUCAGCUAGUUGGUAGGGUAAUGGCCUACCAAGGCAACGACGGGUAGGGGACCUGAGAGGGUGAUCCCCCACACUGGGACUGAGACACGGCCCAGACACCUACGGGUGGCAGCAGUAGGGAAUCUUGCACAAUGGGCGCAAGCCUGAUGCAGCAACGCCGCGUGGAGGAAGAAGGCCUUCGGGUUGUAAACUCCUUUUCGGGGGGAUGAGGAAGGACAGUACCCCCGGAAUAAGUCUCGGCUAACUACGUGCCAGCAGCCGCGGUAAAACGUAGGAGGCAAGCGUUAUCCGGAUUUACUGGGCGUAAAGCGCGUGUAGGCGGCCACGCAGGUCCGUUGUGAAAACUGGAGGCUCAACCUCCAGACGUCGACGGAAACCGUAUGGCUAGAGUCCGGAAGAGGAGAGUGGAAUUCCUGGUGUAGCGGUGAAAUGCGCAGAUAUCAUGAAGAACACCAAUGGCGAAAGCAGCUCUCUGGGACGGUACUGACGCUGAGACGCGAAAGCGUGGGGAGCGAACAGGAUUAGAUACCCUGGUAGUCCACGCCGUAACGAUGGGUGCUAGGUGUGGGAGGUGUCGACUCCUUCCGUGCCGUAGCUAACGCA
rnacentral:rRNA from 1 species